rnacentral:rRNA from 1 species
UACGAAGGGAGCUAGCGUUGUUCGGAAUCACUGGGCGUAAAGCGCGCGUAGGUGGCUUUGCAAGUCAGAGGUGAAAUCCCGGGGCUUAACCUCGGAAUUGCCUUUGAAACUGCAAAGCUUGAGUACUGGAGGGGAUGGUGGAAUUUCUAAUGUAGCGGUGAAAUGCGUAGAUAUUAGAAGGAACACCGGUGGCGAAGGCGACCAUCUGGACAGUAACUGACACUGAGGCGCGAAAGCGUGGGGAUCAAACAGG